UUUUAUUGGAAACACAUUUUAAUAUAUGAUUCUUUUGGUGACAUUGUUGAUAAAAUGUAAACAACUAUAAAAUAUUGUCUCCUUCCCCAAGGGAAUUAAAUAACGACAUCCAAAAAUUAAAUACGAAACAAAGUUACAUAAAUUUUUUGGCAACAAACAAUUGAAAAAAGGUAAUGGAUUUUGGACUUCAAUAUUCAACUGGACUCCUCUUCAUCCCAUAACAUCUGCUUUCUGAAAACAAAAAUGAUGGAAAACGAACUGAUCUUAGUUUGGUUUUUUAACAACUAGACUCCUCUUCAUCCCACAACAAACAAAAGACCAAAGAAGGCAGCACAACAAACAAAUGAUGGAAAACGAAGGUGUAAACGGACUAAAAACAAAAAUAAAAAUCACUUCAACAAAAAAUGACCAAUGGACAACAAAGAUUUAACCUUUUAUAUUUUGAGUCAUAAAACCUAAAAAAGAUGUACCGAAUGAUGCAUAUCUAAGAUGAAAAGCACUUCCAAACAAAAAAAAGAUUUAUGCAUGUUUGUUUCAGAAAGUCACAACACCAAAAUAGGCACCGAAAGAUAAAGAUGAAAACAGACUCAAAACUAACAAAUGAAGAAAUGGGGAAGAAAUGGUAUAGAAAACAAACCUGUAGUUACGGUUGGGGGAUACCUAUGACCGGUGUUCUUUCUGAGAGUUGUCGUUCUCGGAUUGUUUAUUGUUCUCGGCCAAGAACGUAGCACAAGUGCAGUCAGUAUAUAGAAAAGUUAAAGAUGGUAAAGCAAACAAAAGAAGAACAUGCAACAAAAAUAAGGGAAACAUGGCAAAAAUCCCAGAAAUCGAAAAAGGACGAAAACACAAAAAGUUGGGUAUAGGAAACAGUGAGCACGUUGGAGAAGGCUCAGGAACUCAAAAAAGUUUAAACUUUUGUAUUGCGAGAAGUCAGAAACCAAAAUAAAGGCAGAACACCCAAGAAAAUUUAAGCUUUUGUGUUUACGAACCUGUACUCAUGGAGUUUUUGAGAUAAAAAUCGCAGCUUUAGUGUGUUCUUUCACCUUCUCUGCAUUCAUAAAAAAAAUCAACAUGCCAAAAAAUAUAUUGAACUAUUAGACCACCAAAAAAGGAGGAAAACACAAAAAGCUGGGUAUAGGAAACAAUGAGCACGUUGGAGAAGGCUCAGGAACACAAAAAAGUUUAAACUUUUGUAUCGCGAGAAGUCAAAAAACAAAAUAAAAGCAGAACACCCAAAAAUCAUUUUUGGCCAAACCAAGCAAAGAACUGUCAAACCAAGCAAAAAAGCUGUAGCCUUUGGGUUUUCCUCACGGGAGAGAAAACAACGGCUUUACCAAGCAACAACCUUUCGGUUUUUUGGCCAAACCAAACAAAUGAAAAAAGAAAACGCAGCAGGAUAAGAGAGAAAAGAACCCAGAAGAAUGGAGAGGAACAAAAGAUUCAGAAGAAUGGAGAGGAAUUGAGAGGAACGAAAAUGGGAAACGGAGAGUUGAGAAGUAAUGGAAAACAGAGAGGGGUCAGAAGUAAAAUUCAAAAUGAAACGUAUGUUGAAAAAUACAAAAGCC
rnacentral:lncRNA from 1 species